rfam:Triticum urartu cultivar G1812 contig1162468, whole genome shotgun sequence.
CAACUACUCCCUCCAUUCCGAAUUACUUGUCACAGGUAUGAAUGUAUUUAGAUGUAUUUUAGUUUUAAAUACACUCAUUUUCACGACGAGUAAUUUGGAACGGAGGGAGUAGAUA